rnacentral:lncRNA from 10 species
UAGGAAGUCAGCAUGGAUCAGCCUUACGUUCAUGGCCUCCAGGCCCUAUUCUCCUGCCUCACAGGGACCGGCCAGGAUCUCUAUCCUUACAGCACGUUGGAAUGUAUAUGCUCCUCUCCCCACAUCGCCUUAGGGAGCAGGCAGGUGUCAGGGGCAGCACAAGGACGGCCAACAGGACAGGUGCAUAAGUAAGACUGAUACAAUUUGAGGGCUCAGCUCUGAGAAUACUCUAAACAGGAUCCAAAUAACAUUGUUGCCUCCUAACCAGCAGGAGACGGGUUGAAGAUCCGAGAGGCUGAGUCACUUCCACAAAGUAACACAGCUGGUUUUAAAUGCCUGCAUUCAGCAUCCCUGCAGCAGGCUCCAGGUGGAAUUCUAAUGGGACCAGCCUCCAGUCCCUGGACCUUAGCCGUGGAAGGAGAGAAGAGGACAUCUGCACCUCCUCUCAGAGAAAGCCUGAUGCCUACUAAAGGACUUGGGUGGUGGACGCAGUGACCCUCAGUCUGGAGCUUGUUCACUGAACAUUGGAGACUAUCAUUUGCGCAGAUGGUCUUGGGCCUCUAUGAGCAGCA